UACGUAGGGUGCGAGCGUUGUCCGGAAUUAUUGGGCGUAAAGAGCUUGUAGGCGGUUUGUCGCGUCUGCUGUGAAAAUCCGGGCUCAACCCCGGACUUGCAGUGGGUACGGGCAGACUAGAGUGUGGUAGGGGAGACUGGAAUUCCUGGUGUAGCGGUGAAAUGCGCAGAUAUCAGGAGGAACACCGAUGGCGAAGGCAGCUCACUGGGACGGUACUGACGCU
rnacentral:rRNA from 1 species